GAUGAACGCUGGCGGCGUGCCUAAUACAUGCAAGUCGAGCGAACGGACGAGAAGCUUGCUUCUCUGAUGUUAGCGGCGAACGGGUGAGUAACACGUGGAUAACCUACCUAUAAGACUGGGAUAAAUUCGGGAAACCGGAGCUAAUACCGGAUAAUAUUUUGAACCGCAUGGUUCAAAAGUGAAAGACGGUCUUGCUGUCACUUAUAGAUGGAUCCGCGCUGCAUUAGCUAGUUGGUAAGGUAACGGCUUACCAAGGCAACGAUGCAUAGCCGACCUGAGAGGGUGAUCUGCCACACUGGAACUGAGACACGGUCAAGACUCCUACGGGAGGCAGCAGUAGGGAAUCUUCGGCAAUGGGCGAAAGCCUGACGGAGCAACGCCGCGUGAGUGAUGAAGGUCUUCGGAUCGUAAAACUCUGUUAUUAGGGAAGAACAUAUGUGUAAGUAACUGUGCACAUCUUGACGGUACCUAAUCAGAAAGCCACGGCUAACUACGUG
rnacentral:rRNA from 1 species